GAUGAACGCYGGCGGCGUGCUUWAACACAUGCAAGUCGAGCGAUGAAGUUUCCUUCGGGAAACGGAUUAGCGGCGGACGGGUGAGUAACACGUGGGUAACCUGCCUCAUAGAGUGGAAUAGCCUUCCGAAAGGAAGAUUAAUACCGCAUAACGUUGAAAGAUGGCAUCAUCAUUCAACCAAAGGAGCAAUCCGCUAUGAGAUGGACCCGCGGCGCAUUAGCUAGUUGGUGGGGUAACGGCCUACCAAGGCGACGAUGCGUAGCYGACCUGAGAGGGUGAUCGGCCACAUUGGGACUGAGACACGGCCCAGACUCCUACGGGAGGCAGCAGUGGGGAAUAUUGCACAAUGGGGGAAACCCKGAUGCAGCAACGCCGCGUGAGUGAUGAAGGUUUUCGGAUCGUAAAACUCUGUCUUGGGGAAGAUAAUGACGKACCCAAGG
rnacentral:rRNA from 1 species